AAAACCUAAACCUAUCGCCCGCACGUACGAGGUGAAGGAGCGACGACCCCUGGAUCUAUUCGCGACGCGAACGCCGCCGCCUGGCAGAUCCCAGGCGCUAGCCGCGGAUCCCUUUGCCGGCUCCGAGGGGUCGUGGAGGCGCCGUCGUCGAGGUCCCAAAGGAGGCGCCGCCGCCAUCGUUGUGGACCUCUGGGUCGCCAUCUGGACACCUCUGCUGAGGUACGCCUUCGCCUUCGCACGCCGCCGACCUCCCAGAGGAGACGCCGCCACGACCUGCGCUAAACCCUAGGCAUCAACCACCGUGCUCCCGUCCUCCGGUUCCUCCUGCGUUCGCCACCAUGCGAUCGCCUUCCUCCCUCAGGUUCUUGUACGGAACAUACCACCAAACCCCGAUGAAUCAGUUAGCAAGCCUGUGGAACAUUUCUUCCUUGUCAAUCAUCCUGAUCAUCAUUUGAAACAUCAGGUAAUCACUAAAUUUUGGAACAUCUCCCAUUUGAAGAAUCAUCUGCAAAUUCAAAUGUAAGGAAGUGUGCAGUGCAAGCAAUUAUCAGGGUAAAUCUAUUUCUCAAUUAUGUAUUUUUACCACUUCAUCAGGAGUGUAAACUGAUACUAUUUCCAACUACAAAGUGUUGGCUGCCCAGGAAGAAGGAAAGGUCAGUCCAGACAUGACAUUUAACUCUAAUAAUGGAGGUACGUACUGCCUACUGCUCCCUUGUCCCUUGCUACCGGCUGGGGAUGCUCGGCGGGCAGUCCCUGCUCUCAUUUUCCUCCAGCCUCUGGUAACCCUCCUCCUCACCUGCCUUGCUGAAGCAGGAUUCACAUGUUAGUUUAGUUUGGAGGGAUUUCCUGUGGUUGUGCGUGAAUCCAGUGUUCACUAGGCUUGUAUGUUUCAUUCCUAAUUUGCUAGCUCCUGCCUAAACACGCAUUAGAGAAUCUCAUGUAUGUAACAGAAGAUACACAAAUGUGGUUUUCCAGGGAGCAUCAGGUACAUCUUAUGUGGGGAUGAACCAUCAGCUAAAGGGAGUGAUAGGAAAAUAUUUUGUUGAAUGCAAUGGGAAGGCGAAAAACGACACGCCUUGGCGAAGCAACUCUAAGAUUCGGUAAGGCUAAUCAAGUCUGCAAUCAAAUCCAAGAGCAGGGGCAGAGAAAAACAUUAAAAUACUUUUUAGGGCAGAGAAAAAGUUAAAAUACUUUUUAGCUAUUGAUUGAAGUGACUGGUAAUUAGUAGCAGGAGCAACAAUUGUAGUAAGAACCUACCUAGGCAUAUUUUCUCUCUUUCCUAUCACAUGGCACAUUGAAUAACUUUACAGUACAAAUACAUUCACAUAUGUUAUUUUAAAUUAUCAUGUCAUGGAGGUUCUCGUUAUUUCGAAUCUUUGGUCGGAACCUUCAUUUUGUGUUAUUAAAUGCACAUGGUAUUCAGUUAUCUCCAUUAUGGUGAGAAGACUUUGAUCUUGAUAUAUCAGAUUUAAGCCUCCUACACCAUAGGAGGUCCUCCUUUUGGUGAUGUUCACUCAUAUGUCAUUCUAAAUUAUCAUGUCAUGGAGGUGAUGGGUAUUUUGAAUCUUUGGUUGGAACCUUCAUUUUGCGUUAAAUUCACAUGGUAUUCAGUUAUCUCCAUUAUUGCCAGUAGCAAUGCACAAGCACUUUCUAUUAAAUGCACAUGCUAUUUUCUUUUGUAUCAUGUCAUUUUGUGGUCAUUAACAAUCAGAUGGAUGAAACUGAUCUUGUUUUGUGCAUCAUGGAUUUUCUCAACUGAAUGAGUAGAAACAUAAGUGUGUAAUGUAGUAGCCCCUCUAUUCCAUUGUUAUAAAUAUUAUAGUUUUUCAAUCUUCUGACCUGAUCGUAACAGCUGUUUAAAAGGAAGUGAUCACAUCACUAUUUAGAUUUUACUUUUUUUGUAUGCUUAAACAUAAGAUUAGUUUGUCCCCUUUCUUUUUACCCUUCAUGCUAACAUAAUAAAUACAUAUUUGAACUGAAUUGGUUGUAUUACAUAUGCCACGAAGGAUGUCGCCACUUGAAGCUCAAUUUCCAUCAGCCCCUCUUUUAAUUCACUUGCAUUGUUUCAGCUUUGCAUUGUACUUCUUUGACGAAUUACCUCAUCCAAUCGGCUUUAAUUCGGAGCGUCAGUCUUACUAAUUAUCAUUGCCUUAACUUUUCAUAUGAACCUCUUACAGGAAACAAGGACUCCUAUUUGUCUGUAGUACUGCCCAUGAGACUCAACCUUGUUUUACCUUAAUUAUCAUGGUGUGCCUUUUUUUAGAAUAGCUCACCAUUUUGUUAGUGGCAAUAAAAUGCAUCUUUAGGCACACCUAUAGCGCACAUGUGAUGAUGUACAGAUGAAAGAAAGAUCUUAGAAGCUGAGAAGCCGAGAGCUGGAGGAACAAGGAGAAGCUAAAAAGACAGAAGAAGUCAGAGCAUGUGGAGCUGUUGGGCAAGCAGAGUUCUAUCUGGGUAUUUAGGUAGCUGAGGAUAAAAGGGAAAAGGAAAAUGUUGACGAUAUAGUUACUCAAUGCUGAGAAUGUUGCCUGCAUACUUUGUUGCCUAUAUAUCAUUGGCUUUGUAUUGAUCCAGGCAAGAACAAAUCAGACGGAACAAGUUUGCUACGGGUGGGUGUGCAUCAAGCUGCUUCGUUGCCGGCAGCGAGUAAUCUCACACAUGUUUAUGGCGCAUAUGUACCAGGAAAUUCAAAUGGUUCUGAUCAUACGUGCGAGGGGAAUCAGGUAGGGCUUGAUGCGCCUUUCAUACGAAAUGUUGAUGAGAAUUACCCAAGUAGUCCAGGUAUGAGGCUGUGCGGAUAUAGUAAUCAUAAUUUUCAGUGGCAUCGGCAUGUUCUAAUAAAUAAGAUGGGAAGUUCAGAAUAAUGUAACAUCGGCAUGUUCUAAUAAAUAAAAUAAGAGAAGGUUGGGUAUACUGAAGCAGACCCCUUAUAAUUAUGAACGGCUUAUAAAGUUGAAGGAUGAAACUUGAACGAACACAAUUCUGAGGUUUGUAAAGUGAAGCCAAAGACAAGUUCGAGGGGUAAUGUGGACUUCUCUCAAACUAUAUUAUUAGAGGACAAUGAGGGUCUUGAAGACAAUGAAAGCGAUGAGUUUCUACUGGUUUUGUUUUGUUGUAGGCAAAGUUCUUAAUUAUAAUUAUCAAUGUGUUUGUUUUUCUUAAGGACGCAGUGACAUGCAAGGCGAGGGAAAUUGAAGCCAAAACAUGCAGGACGGCCAGGAAUGUGCCAUUUUUUCUAUGACAACUUAGUGAUUUUACCCUUUUUGUAUUUUUUACAUUGCUAGGUACAGUAGUUUAUAUGAAAUGAUUUGUUAAUGGCAGGGGGUGGUUCUUCAAUCUUCAGGUAAUCAAGUGGUAGCAUCAGAUGCUGACAUGCAUGGAAGGUAGCAGUAUAUGUAUUUGUAGCAAAUCAUCAUCGCCCAUAAAUAAAUCAUCUCUUGCCCGCUUCCUCUGUCCGGUUGUCAACUCAAAUUGCUUUGGUUCACAAAUUCGUUUCAUCGUACAUCUAGGUACACUAGAACUGAGAGACUACUUUCGUUGAAUGGCUCGUGCGAGUAAACUGACAAUAGUAUUCAUCCAAGAUGCAGUAGUAUAUGUAUCUUCAUAGAGAUGUAGAUGCAUAGAUAGUUCAAUAGUGCACAUGUUCAUUGACAGGGAUGUAGAUGUAGUAUACAACCGAGGUUACAUUGACAAGUUGGUCCAUGAUGCUCCCAGGAAAAAGAAAAUAUGAUAUAUUUUUUCACACUAUCAUCCAUAGUGAAACUUGUAUUUAAUAUUUCUUUGUUUUGCAAUGCUGAAUAUUUUGGGAACACACAGUAAGAUGUAAUCUACGGAUUCACCAAAUCAGCUUGAACAUUGUUAUCAUGCUUCGUAUGAUUUGGUAAUGAUUUCAGAACUUGGAAUGGGGCAAAUAAAGUUGAAACCAUGUACUAUUCCUCACAAAAAAAAACAGUUACUGUCGAGAGGUUUCAUACUGACAUUAUUUCUUACCAACUAAUGGUGCAUUACUCCUGCCAUGAUAACAACAGCUAACUACUCCAUGAUCACAGCAGUAAACAUUGAUAAGAGUACAAGCAUUGGAGGAGUACUCACCACGUUCGAGGAAGUCGUCAUCAUGGUGGUGGUGGUCGAGGAAGUCGUAGGUGCUGGUGGCAUCAUCACGGAGCAGGCACCAUCUUCUCCUCGACUUAAAAUGUAGUACUCCAUGUACUCCCACUUGUUAACUUUCUGAAAUGCAGAUCCACUCCAAGAAUGUGCUCUAAAAUGGAAGUAACAUGGAGUAUACUCUAAAAAUCAGUAUGGUUUGAGCCCACUAGAUCAAUCAAAGUUCUCCAGCAUGAUAAAAAAAUACUACAACAUGAGUAUUACAGCAGAAUCAGUUUGGUUUGAGCCAAGCAAGAGUACUAAAAUCCUGACAAAAAGAAUACUACAGCAUGAAAAACAUGAUUUCAGAGAUGUUGAUUUCAGUACUUACAACCCAUUGAUAAACAUGAUUUUCAGAAAUGUUGAUUUCAGU